GAGUUUGUAUAUUAAAUGUAAUGGCAGGCAACACUUGACACUUGAUUAGAUUUCGAAUAUUGGAAUUAUUUUAAAUGUUUUAAAAAAAACAGAUCAUUGUAUUCUCGUAAGAAAAUGUCAGUGACUUCUCAUCUAGACACGGCAUGAAAAACAUGUAAUAGUUUUAUAAAAAAUAUAAAGAUAAAAAUUGUAUAAUGGUGUAAAAGUGUUCGAGCAAUCUGCAAUAUAAUUAUAAUGAAGCAGUUGUGUUUUUAAAUAUCCUCUCAUCACCUACAGAACCCAAUCCCUUCAAAUUUAACCGUCCAACAGGUUAUGGGCCCAGAAUUUAUAAGGUAAUAUUUAUUAUAGUUUGCUAAUUAAAAAAAGCCGACAUCACCAUGGAAACCAAACUGUUUGUAAAAAUUUUAAGAAAAUUAUUAUAAGAGCAUGAGAUAAGGUAAUGGAAGGGAGAACACUAACAUAAGUAACAAAUAAAAAUAAUCGUGAAGACGAAGGUAAUGAAGUUCGAAAAGGUGUAAGAGGAAGAAAUGGAGUUAAUGGAGUUCGAGAAGGUGAUAUUUGAGGAUAUAAUAGUAAUGGAGUGUAAUGAAGUUUGAGAAGGUGAAAUAGGAAGAAAUGAAGGUGGAGUUCGAGAAGGUGAUAUUAGAGGAAAUAAUAGUAAUGGAGUGUAAUAAAGUAGAAAUGGCGUAUAGUUCGAGAAUAAUCGAGAAGAUGUUGUUGAAAGGCGAAAUAAUAGAGAAUGAAAUGAAAAUGGAACAAAUGAUAGCAGAUUAACAAAUGAAAAUCUGGUCAUGGAAAACUUUGAGACUUUAAGUGUACUCAUUUAAAAAAAAAAAAAAAAAAGUGAACUUGUGUUUCGGGAUAAAUGGGUUAGUUUAAUAAGUUCUUUGGGAAUUUAAAUGUUGUAUUAUACAACAAUAGAUAUAUGUAACUGAAAGGAGACAAGGAUAAUUCAAAAAUUAAGAGGGUGCUCUUUUUCAACAGAGAUAAACAAUUAAGGGGGUGAUCAUAAAAAUAUAUUUUUUUUUUUAUUAAUUAUACUAUAAAUACAAUAGAUAGUCUAGCCGUGGAGGAAGUACACAUUAUUUGAUACAAACAUAUUUACUGUCGUUUUUUAAAAUCCUUUUGAAUCUCUUUUAUAGUUUUGUUUUAUUGUUGUUUUAUAAUAGAUGUUAGGAAUUUUGGUUUGUGUUAUAUUAAAAUAAUUGAACGGAUAUGUGAAAAAAGUGGGAAAAUUUAGGAAGUGAGAAAAAUAUAAAAGAUAAUGGAAGGUUGUAUGAAUAAUGUAAGGUUGUAUGUGUUAUGUGAAUUGAAAUGUUGAGUUUGUUGAAGUUGUGCGAGGUUAUUUGUUAUGAGUUAUGUGGUUUGUGAGUGGAGUUGAAGGUGAUUAAGGUUAAAGAAGUUAAGAGGGAGAUUAACGUUAAAUAAGUCGAGAAGGAGAUAAAGGAGUUUGGAGGUAAAAGAGUCGAGUAGGAGUUUUAAAGGUUAGAGUCGAGAAGGAGUUAAAGGUUAGAGUCGAGAAGGAGUUAAAGGUUAGAGUCGAGAAGGAGUUAAAGGUUAGAGUCGAGAAGGAGUUAAAGGUUAGAGUCGAGAAGGAGUUAAGGGUUAGAGUCGAGAAGGAGUUAAGGGUUAGAGUCGAGAAGGAGUUAAGGGUUAGAGUCGAGAAGGAGUUAAGGGUUAGAGUCGAGAAGGAGUUAAGGGUUAGAGUCGAGAAGGAGUUAAGGGUUAGAGUCGAGAAGGAGUUAAGGGUUAGAGUCGAGAAGGAGUUAAGGGUUAGAGUCGAGAAGGAGUUAAGGGUUAGAGUCGAGAAGGAGUUAAGGGUUAGAGUCGAGAAGGAGUUAAGGGUUAGAGUCGAGAAGGAGUUAAGGGUUAGAGUCGAGAAGGAGUUAAGGGUUAGAGUCGAGAAGGAGUUAAGGGUUAGAGUCGAGAAGGAGUUAAAGGCUAUUAAAGAGGUUGAGAAGGCGUUUAAGGUUAUUAAAGAGGUUGAGAAGGCGUUAAAAGUUUUAAAUAAACUUGAAGAGUUUAUGUAGGAAGUCGAGAAGGAGUUAGACUAUUAUAGUUAAGGUUUUAUAUAGUGAGUCAAGAGGGAAGUUAAGGUUGAAUGGUUGUAUGGUUGAAUGAAAGUACAUUUUUGAUCGAAUUGGAGUUGGAGAAGUAAGAAAGGAUUAAAGGUAGCGACAUUAAAGAUAGUAUUAAGUUUGAAAGGUUGAAUGAAUAGUUGUUGGUUGAAUUGAGAGGGAUUAUGUAGAAGUGGCGGAAUGUAAGUGGUUGUGAGGUUUUUUAGGUAUGUAUGGAAAGAAUUAAUUUAUGAAGGUCAGGUUAGCGUUAUUCUUUUUUGGUAUUAAAUUAUAGACGGAGAAAAAUGUGUGCAAGUGUUGAGGGGGUGUGUUGGAGUUUGUAUAUUAAAUGUAAUGGCAGGCAACACUUGACACUUGAUUAGAUUUCGAAUAUUGGAAUUAUUUUAAAUGUUUUAAAAAAAACAGAUCAUUGUAUUCUCGUAAGAAAAUGUCAGUGACUUCUCAUCUAGACACGGCAUGAAAAACAUGUAAUAGUUUUAUAAAAAAUAUAAAGAUAAAAAUUGUAUAAUGGUGUAAAAGUGUUCGAGCAAUCUGCAAUAUAAUUAUAAUGAAGCA